rnacentral:tRNA from 1 species
GCCCAUUACACUUUCAGCUCAGUGGUCGAGCGUUGGCUUUGGAGGUCACAGGUCGGUGGUUCGAACCCACCAGGGCACA